rfam:Canis lupus familiaris chromosome 6, whole genome shotgun sequence.
GCCUGGGUGGCUCAGUGGUUGGGCGCCUGCCUUCAGUUCAGGUGUGAUCCCAGGAUGCAGGAUCGAGUCCCGCAUCAGACU